rnacentral:tRNA from 1 species
GGGGAUAUAGCUCAGUUGCUAGAAUGCUUGCCUGGCAUGCACAAGGUCCUGGGUUCAAUUCCCAGCACCACCA